UUCAUUGUUAUUGUUAUUUUUUUUAUUCUUAUUUGUUAUCCUUAUUUGGCUCUCUGGAAAAAACCCGAGAG
rnacentral:ribozyme from 12 species